UGUGACUUUGCUGCAGCCUGGAAUUGAACUGCUGGUUUCGUCUGGCCAGAGGAGAACUGAUUCCCAUCUGAGCCUGGUUUCUCCCAAGGUUUUUUCUCCAUUCUGUCACCGAUGGCGUUUUGGUUCUUUGCCGCUUUUCCCCCCGGGGGGUUGUUCCAUAAAAGCCGCUUAGAAAAGCGGGGAUUAAAGUCCAAAACCUGACUUGAAUGAGCCGAGCUAAACAUCCGCGCUUAAAUUGGUUCCAUAACAGUAAGUUGAGGAUCAUGUGAUCUUACUAAUUUGAGUCAGGUUUAAAUAGUCUAGAUAAUUGCGCGUGCACGCCAUUGUUUAAAAGUCCUGAAAAGUCGAACAUGGGUCAAUCGAUUUACUGUGGGCUACCAUGGCAACAAAAGGAAAAGAUAGAGCAGCGAUGUUCACGGCAACGGAAUAGCGUUUGCUAUUGGAAACAUAUGAAGAAUUUAAAGAUGUCAUCACCAAAAAAGGCAAUACAGCGGCAAUAAAUAAAGCAAGAGAGAAAGGUUGGCAGGAAAUUGCUGAUCGUCUCAAUGCGUAAGGAGCAGUGUAAGCUAUUUAAAAUACUUUAUCAACAUUGAAUGUGUGUCACAAUAUAUUGCAAAGUUUGUGUGUGAAUACCAGUAACGUUAAUUGCUUUCACGCAGCAGCAACAUAAGUGAUGGAAAAAGAACCUGGCAGCAGGUGAAAAUAAAAUAUAAAAAUAUAGUUCAGAAUGCGACCAAAAAGACUGAGGUUGCUGGCACUGGGGGAGGGCCACCACUAGCCAGCUUCACUCCUGCAGAGGAGCUGGCUUUGGAAAUUAAUAAAGGGAGGCCCGUCCUUGAGGGAAUAGAGGGGGGGGACAUCAUCUAAAAUUAUAUCACGUAGUAUAAGGAAUUCUGUAUGCUUUAUGGAUCCACCAGACAUCAUGUUGCCUGUGAGUAUGAGACCUUUUAAAUCAGUCAUGUAAGCUAAUGAGUUUAACUGAGUUUAAUCAGUUGUCACAGGGAGAAGGCCCAUCAGUUGAGGAGGAUGAGGAGACUGUCUGUAUGUUCAAGGAGG